rnacentral:ncRNA from 2 species
CAUAGAAGAGGGAAUGAACGUCUCCCUUAGUCAACCAUGACUAAAACCGCAACAUGCUAAUGACUUCUACAACACG